rnacentral:lncRNA from 1 species
CCUGUUUCGUCCAAAUUGAAAAAAGAUUAGUGAAAACUAGUUGGUGGAGUAAAAAUACUAUGUGUAGAGCCCACUAAAGUAAUUUAGCAUAAAAACACUCAAAGAAAAAGAUGGUUAAUGGUUUCCACAACUACAAAAAUCGCAGUAUUAUUACCAUUCCAAUUUCUUCUUGCUAAAAUAUAAGUCUGGCAAAUUCUAACAAAGAACUAAACCAGAAGUAAAAAUGCAUGAUAUGUGUACCUAUUCACCCCGCAUCCACAUAUUGCAACAGCACAAAUUACAGAAAAAUUAAAUGAGCAACAUAAAGGAAGUUUUAAGAUGUUACCUCAAAUUUAAAGAACAAGUUAAUAGCUCUUGCACCAUGCAUUGCAAAAUACUAAAAAUGAAAAUGUAUAGUAUCAGUUACUCCCUC